UACGUAGGAUGCAAGCGUUGUCCGGAAUUAUUGGGCGUAAAGAGCGCGCAGGCGGUCUAUCAAGUCAGAUGUGAAAUAUCCAGGCUUAACCUGGAGGGGUCAUUUGAAACUGGUAGACUAGAGUACAGCAGAGGAUAGUGGAAUUCCCGGUGUAGUGGUGAAAUGCGUAGAUAUCGGGAGGAACACCAGUGGCGAAGGCGGCGACCUGGAUAGGCACUGACACUCAACUGCGAAAGCGUGGGGAGCAAACAGG
rnacentral:rRNA from 1 species